AUGGAGUCACAGACCCAAAUCUUCAUGUCCGUGCUGCUCUGGGUGUCUGGUGCCUGUGCAGAUAUCACAAUGACCCAGUCUCCAUCUUCCUUGGCUGUGUCAGUAGGAGAGAAGAUCACUAUCAGCUGCAGGGCCAGUCAGAGUCUUUACAACAGUAAUAACAAGAAGAACUACUUGAGCUGGUACCAGCAGAAACCAGGGCAGUCUCCUAAACUACUAAUCUACUUGGCAUCCACUCGGGAAACUGGGGUCCCUGAACGCUUCAUAGGCAGUGGAUCUGAGACAGAUUUCACUCUCACCAUCAGCAGUGUCCAGGCUGAAGACCUGGCAGAUUAUUACUGCCAGCAGGGGUACAGCUAUCCUCCCACUUUGGAUUCUGGGACUCAAAUUGAGGUUUGA